AUGUCUGCACAAGGACAGUACUUCAAAAAACCCUCAAACUAGACGUAGGAAACAAAUAACAACUGUAUACACGCAUCUGAAUUAUAAACAGCUGAGGGACACCGAACGGUAUGAAGGGUUUCGCUCGUGUCACUGGUCUGUUGCAAGAAGGUAUCGCAGGGCACAGGAAUAUGAAACACAAUACACAUCGGAUGAUAUUUUGUCUGCUAGACUUUUCUUCCUCGAAGUAACUCAAGAAUUUUUGGAAUUAAAGAAAAGUAUAUGAAAUAUGAUACUAUGUAAUGAAGAAAAGUUCUAGGAAGCCCAAGAAGUUCUAGAAAUACUUGUAAAAUCUGUAAUAUGAUGACAAAAUAUAUCCUAUGGUGACUUAUCAAUUGAUUCCCGAUAUGUAAGACCAUGUGCACAGCCGCUAGAAAUGGAGACGUUUCUGUUGACUUCAAGCUUUGCUCACGAUCUGGUCUGGUGCUGUCAACAGUAAGGGAGAUGGAGGCCAAAGAGACUAUUUUCACACUUAAAGUUAUAUUAAUUUUUAUAUCUCAUUAAGUUUUACAAGAUACUGCAUUGUAAUUUUGUGUUAGGUUAUCCUAGCUUCAACCAAAACAAAAGAACAAACCCCUUUUUUCU